rnacentral:lncRNA from 12 species
AUGGGAAUGGGAAUGGGAAUGGGAAUGGGAAUGGGGAUGGGAAUGGGAAUGGGGAUGGGAAUGGGGAUGGGAAUGGGGAUGGGGGAAUUUGGGAAUGGGAAUGGGAAUGUGGGAAUGGGGAUGGGAAUGGGAAUUUGGGAAUGGCUGUGGGAUGGGGGGGCAAUGCAGCUUCCAAACCCAAACCUCAAACCCAACCCCCCCAAAAAACCCCAAAUGAAACAACACACACACACACACACACAAAACCCAAAACAAAAAACAACAACAACAACAACAACAAAAAACAAACAAAAAGAAACAAAACCCAAACAAAAAAAUAAAAACAGAUUUAAAAAUAUCCACCGCAAUUUCUGUGUCUUCUUUGUGUUUUUAAAUUAGAAAAUAAGUCCGUAGAACUCUGCUCUCUGUCUCCCUAUGUACACAAAGAUAUUUAUAGAGCUCUGCAAGGAACGCCUGCAUCGGGAUCCCCCUUCAGGAAUCCCUGGAGAGGUUUUGGGAAUCUCUGAUCCAAGGGUUUGAGGAAUUCCUAGAGGGUCUGUAGGAUCCCAGGGGGAUUUUCAGGAAUCCCAGGAGGAAUUUCAGGAACCCCUGGAGGAUCUGUAGGAAUCCCUGGAGGAUCCAUAAGAUCCCUGGAGGAUUUUUUAGGAACCUCUCAUGAAUCUCUAGCAUCACUAGAGGGUCUGCAGGACUUCCAGGAGGAUUUUUAGCAAUCCCAGGAUGAUUUUUAGCAGCACCUGCAGAGUUUUUCGGAGGUCCUGGAGGGGUUGUAGAAGUCCCACGAGGAUUUUUCGGAGUCCCAGGAUGAUUUUUCAGAAUCCCAGGAUGAUUUUUUUGGAGUCCCAGGAGGAUUUUUCGGAGUCCCAGGAGGGUUUCCAGCAGCCCCCGUUGGUUUUUAGCUCAGGGCCGAG